UACACAGCUGGCCCUGUUUAUUUUAUUCCUGUCUGGUCUUGCCAGACUUCAGAGGUUGACAUUGUGUUACUAACAUGAAACAUGGAGGAUUUUUCUUGGUUGUGUAGGUCUGCUAGUGCCAGAGCUGAUUCCCUGAUUUCACUUGGUUUUCAUCAGCCUUCUUUUCAGCACCACCCUUGGGAAAUGUGUUCUGCAGCCGAGAGGCAGAAAUAGAAAGUCUCCAGCUCGUGUGUGGAUCCAUCUUUCAGACGCACCUCAAUAACAUCUGAGUCAUCUUCUUGCAUAGCCACUGAACAGAUGCUGGCUACAUUUAUCUCUGAACUGGUGGCUCUAUCAUCAUGAAUUAUCCCACUUACUUGGCCAAAGUUACCAGCAGAAGGUUUAGUAACUGAAACAAAUCCAGUGUUGAGAAGGAAGACGAAUCAAUAAAAGACAUUUUCUUGGUAUAUAUUUCACAAUUUGGCUUUCUACAUUGGGUGCAAAUGAUAAUGUCUGAAAUAAAUGGCAUUUGGCCUUGUUAGAAUAUACAGUAUUUCUAACCCAUAAUGUGAUAUUUGUAGUGGGAACGUUAUUUAAAAGUGUGUUUAGGGAUUUUAUUCAAAAUUAUGAUCUAGAGAAUGGAUUAGAAAACAUAGUAGAAGUGGGUCUAGAGACUAUUCUACUUGCCAUCUUGAAGUCAGGCAAGAAAAUUGUCCACCUCUGAUGAGAGAAGAUACAGUAUUGGAGAGGAUUCAAGUGUUUUUUUUUUACCUUUCUCUAGAGCCGUUUCGCAGAAGAAAAAUUGGUAUUUAUUGAAAGCAAUUACAA